AUAUUCAGGUAAUCGCUGUAUAAUAUUACAGAGGAAAGUCCAUACUCACACAGACUGAGAUGUUUGUAGUGUUCAUGCUUGACGAAGUCAUAAGUCAAGGUAACCAUAGAGGUUAACGGCAGGAACUAUUCCUAAGUCAAUAAGAUAGGGAAUACUAUCCUUGAAAGUGCCACAGUGACGUAGCUGAAAUGGAAACAUUUCAGGUGGAACGAGGUAAACCCCAUGAGUGAGCAACCCAAAUAAAGGUAGGGGCAUCCUUUAGUAGGGAAUUCAACCGAAUGAGGGACAAGUGUUACUUGUAGAUAGAUGAUUACAACCAACGUACGAGGCUGACCACCGCUUGCAGUACAAUGGAACAGAACAUGGCUUAUCGAG
rnacentral:RNase_P_RNA from 1 species